rnacentral:rRNA from 1 species
AUGUAUGCCGGCGUGCAGGAAGAAGAGGGUGGAGGACUGGAGGGCAUGCCCUCCAAGAACCUGAUGGUUGAGUGCCGGCGUCGUAAGCGCCUCAACAACCGUGAACCGUCUCUCCAGGCUACCUCCGUCGUGCCCAGGAUCAUCAAGAGCGUCGAUCCUGGAGACGCGAUCGACUACAUGAAAGAGCUGCUGGAGAGGAUGUGGCGACUGCAGGAGGAGAGGAGGACGCGCAUCCGCAGCCAGCGUGUUCCAGGAGCUGAACCCGACGAGAUAUAUAUGGCCAGGAACAUCCCCGAGAUGAGUAAUCUAGGCGACUAG